UAGCUUGUUGGUAAAUCAUCUGCCUGCGAUGCAGGAGGCCCAGGUUCGAUUCCUGG
rnacentral:tRNA from 1 species